GCCCGACUAGCUCAUCGGUAGAGCGCCUCACUAGUAUACCAAUCUGUGACGGGGUCUUCAGAGGAUUCCCUUCAAGUUGUGUUAUACUGUAAUGAGGAGGCAACAGGUUCGAUUCCUGUGUUGGGCA
rnacentral:tRNA from 1 species